UCAAGUUUAUAUUCCUAUGAAAUAUAACUUAACUCUGAUGCUUGAUUAAAAUAGGAUGGCUGCUGGCUUUAUCUGGUUUGAUCACAUCUCACUGAUCAGAAAGGAGUUUAUGAAGAAUGGGAACAUAAUCCAAACCCUACGCUGGAGAGAACUGCUGAAUGGAGACGUUUAAUGCAAAACAGUUCAACCUCCUAGCCCUCUAAGCACUUUUUGUGUCAGUCAUGAAAAUUACCCUCCUAAUGUUUAGUCUGUUCUUUAGAUUCCCUUGUACAGUGUUAGGUUUUGCAUCCCAUUGACAGUAUGGAAAUGAAGUAGUGUGUUUUCUUACAGUAGGUCAGUGUAUGCAGAGGACAAGCCAUGAAAGUGCAACAGGACAUGGAUGGAAGUUCUAGGAAUACUAAAAUAGUCAAGCUUACUAGGGAGAUGUUGGAGCUGACGUUUUAGCAUCACCUGGGUGUGUUCACCUGGUCAGCAGAGAGGGAGGAGAGAAAUACACCUCUAUAAACUCCUCUCUUUCCCCUGUCUCCCCAUCCAUCUCACCAUAAUCUGGGGAGGUAAGAAGACAGCUAACUGGUGGCAAUGAUACAGGAAAUACUUCUACUCCUGCUGCUGGCAGUCAGGGCCUCACCAGUGUUGAUGGCUGAGGUGUCAGUACUGGCGGGAAGCUCUGUGACCCUUCUCUGCGGAUACUCUGUGAAGAAUCACGGGUAUGACACAUGCUGGGGCAGAAACUGUUAUUACAAUUUCUGGGGUGAAUGUGGAUGUUCUGAACCCAGAGUGAUCAAGAAAGCUGCCAUCUCACCUAAUGACCCCAAAAAAUACAGCCUCAGCAGGGAAAACCUCACCAUUUCCAACCUUCAGUUGAAGGACAGGGGGAGUUACUGCUGUUGUGUGGAUAUCUCAAGUGUAUUGUACCGAGACUAUACAGAAUAUUACAAUCUAAAGGUAGU